UCACUAAAAAUAGGCAAUAUACAUGUAAGAACUUAAACUUACUGUUUCGGUUGUCAGUACAUCACAAAUCUCUUCCGCCUCAGUUAAAAAUUGACGUUUCCCGGGCUCGUCAGACUGUUCAUGAACUAUCUGUCUACCCAAUUGUUGUAGUAGAUGGUGCAUCACUAUACGGCCAUAGGUAGAUUUAUGCACGAGAGAUUUAUCGGCUAGGGUCUCUAACCCAUUCCUAACAUCCAAGUUACUAUCAGAAAGCACAGAUAUCACAUUAUCAACGACUUCAUGGUUGAAGACGCAUGCAAUGUGAAGGAAUAGAGAUUGAUUUUUCUUCGACAAUCUGUCAUAUCCCACUUUUAAAAUGUCUUCAACUUUUCCAUCAAGACUUCCAUCAAUUCUAGAUAAUUGAAGUUCCCACACGUGCUUGCUCUGCCCACGCAAAGAUGAACCCACGACACAAAGGCCUAAUGGAAGCUUACCGCAAAGCUUUGCUACUUUAUUGGCAAGCUCUUCAAAACCAUCUGGUACAGAGCUUUGUUUGAAAGCAGAGAGACAUAAGAUCUCAAGAGCUUCUUCCAUGGACGGAAAAUCCACAUGGUAGAUAUCGUUGAUCCCAUGUGCCUCCAAAAUCUUCUUAUCUUCUGUGGUAACGAUGAUCCGGCUUCCAGAACCAAACCAAGAAGGUUCUUUAGCCAAUACCUCUAAUUGCUCUAGAUCAUCUACAUCAUCAAGAAUGAUGAGCACUCUUUGAUAUUGUAGCCAUUCUUUGAUUGCACCUAAAUGACGUAUUUUCAUAUUCUCUUGGUUCAAAAUCUUAGACAGAAGUUGGUUUUGCAACCACAACUUGGAAUCAUGGUCAUCAACACCCAUUCUGCUCUUAAGACUACCCUUGAGGUUCCCCAUAAAACAUUUAAGUUGAAAAUUGCUAGAGAGUUGGUUGUCUAAAGCUCUAGCAAUGGUGGACUUACCAAUGCCUGCAGGACCCCAAAUCCCAAUCAUCUUGACUUCAUCACUUUCCAAGCAUAACAAAGAGUUCAAUUUUGCCAAGUGAGCUUCAUGUCCCACCAUCCCGUCAAAAUCCUUCGACGGUGUAAGAUUAAGUUUGUUUGAAACAUCGGUAGCAAUCUUUUUAAUCAUAUCUGCUU
rnacentral:lncRNA from 1 species